rnacentral:lncRNA from 1 species
AGGUUACGUCAGCGGCGGACGGCAAGGCGGGGAGAGGGGCAGCCCGCUCGCGGCCCUCCCGCCUGGCUCUCGCCUCGGCCUGCGGCCGGGAUCCUCCGCCCGGGUCGCGCAGCGGAGGCCGAGGGCUGGGACGGGCGGCUGGGAAGUGGGAAAGGGAGCUCCUUUUGUCUUCUCUUCCCAUCCCCCAGGUUUGGGAAAGUUUUCCUUUUGGGAAAGCCCCUCUCUUCAGCCUGCUGGCGGGUGUCGGAUUGGUUAGCGACCACCGGCCCCCGCCUCCCCCAACAGGAUUCUCCUUUGGGCCACAGGUCUUCCGGAAGUUGCCAAACCCCGGUAGCGGCAGCGUCCGGCUGGGGGCUUUAUUAGGGGGCACCGGGGUCUGCUUUCCGACUCCCUUCCGACUCCGCGCCUGCGCAGGAAGCGAUUUGGGGAGUGUUGUGAAUUCCGAGGGCUCCACACUUAAGAGGUUGUACACUCACCUGUCUACCUGGACUCCAAUUUCCAUAUUUCCAGCCACUUGAGGACUGAGAGGUGGAUGAUAAACCCUGUCAUAGUGGAGCAAGUUCAGGUGUUUAACCGCUGUUAUGGGGGAUCUGCCUUUUCUCCCUCUUCUUUCUUACUUCCAUAAGUAUGUAUGUGCAGAGAUUGAAAAAUAACCUUGAGAGAGUCCAUCCAUCUAACUCCAGAAUCUCUCUCUGUCACCCAGGCUGGAGUGCAGUGGCGUGAUUUUGGCUCACUGUAUCCUUCGCCUCCCUGGCUCAAGUGAUUCUCCUGCCUCAGCCUCCCAAGUAGCUUGGAUUACAGAGGUUGUUGGCUUCCAUCAGGGGUGGUCAUUUCCAAUCAGACACCUAAGAACUCCUGCUAAUGGGCAAUGAUGGAGGCACAUUCUAGAUGGAGGCACAUUCUAGAAACGCUUGAAACUGUGUGUUGCUUUGGACAGCUGUUUCAGGAUGUUGGGAACUGACUGUAAGGAAGACAGGAUUGGAGAACCAGGUUUAGAAGAGAAAAGGCAGUGCCAGAAGUUUUUGAUUGGAGAAAACUACAGGGUAAUGUUGCACAAGAACCAUUGCUGGACUGCAUCAUUGCUUACCCAACAUGACUCAGCCUCGGUAUUGCCACUGACUCACGGAGCUCCUAAUAGAGGAGAAUUAGUGUCACAGAUCGACUGGAAAACCAAUCCACAUGAAGCCAGGAAGAGAAAUGAAGCUGCUGUUGCUGAAUCCAUAGCUGGCCUUAAUGAUGCUGGCUAGGAAAGACGGCCCAUUCUGGGGGAGAUAAGUGAUGAAACUGUACGUUUUCCAAGGACACAGUGCUAGUAUGAAUGAAUAAUAAUGGGGUUGUCUAUGAAGAGGAGAGAAUGAAAAAGCUCAGCUUACCAAGAUGAAUGCUCCUCUGAUCUUGUCUUGAUGG